CUCUGGUACUAUUUUGUUGGUUUCUAGGACUGGAGUAAUGAUUAAUAGGGACAGUUGGGGGCAUUAGUAUUUCAGAGUCAGAGGUGAAAUUCUUGGAUUUCUGAAAGACUAACUACUGCGAAAGCAUUUGCCAAGGAUGUUUUCAUUAAUCAAGAACGAAAGUUAGGGGAUCGAAGACGAUUAGAUACCGUCGUAGUCUUAACCAUAAACUAUGCCGACUCGGGAUCGGAGGGAUGUGUUUCUGCACCUUUCGGCACCGUAUGAGAAAUCAAAGUCUUUGGGUUCUGGGGGGAGUACAGUUGCAAGGCUGAAACUUAAAGGAAUUGACGGAAGGGCACCACCAGGAGUGGAGCCUGCGGCUUAAUUUGACUCAACACGGGGAAACUCACC
rnacentral:rRNA from 1 species